GACGAACGCUGGCGGCGUGCUUAACACAUGCCAGUCGAACGGAAAGGCCCUGCUUUUGUGGGGUGCUCGAGUGGCGAACGGGUGAGUAACACGUGAGUAACCUGCCCUUGACUUUGGGAUAACUUCAGGAAACUGGGGCUAAUACCGGAUAGGAGCUCCUGCUGCAUGGUGGGGGUUGGAAAGUUUCGGCGGUUGGGGAUGGACUCGCGGCUUAUCAGCUUGUUGGUGGGGUAGUGGCUUACCAAGGCUUUGACGGGUAGCCGGCCUGAGAGGGUGACCGGCCACAUUGGGACUGAGAUACGGCCCAGACUCCUACGGGAGGCAGCAGUGGGGAAUAGUGCACAAUGGGCGGAAGCCUGAUGCAGCAACGCCGCGUGCGGGAUGACGGCCUUCGGGUUGUAAACCGCUUUCGCCUGUGACGAAGCGUGAGUGACGGUAAUAUGUAAAGAAGCACCGGCUAACUACGUG
rnacentral:rRNA from 1 species